UGCCAGUCCUAUGGGGUGCACCAGUGGGGAAUAUUGGACAAUGGGCGCAAGCCUGAUCCAGCCAUACCGCGUGGGUGAAGAAGGCCUUCGGGUUGUAAAGCCCUUUUGUUGGGAAAGAAAUCCAGCCGGCUAAUACCUGGUUGGGAUGACGGUACCCAAAGAAUAAGCACCGGCUAACUUCGUGCCAGCAGCCGCGGUAAUACGAAGGGUGCAAGCGUUACUCGGAAUUACUGGGCGUAAAGCGUGCGUAGGUGGUUAUUUAAGUCCGUUGUGAAAGCCCUGGGCUCAACCUGGGAACUGCAGUGGAUACUGGAUGACUAGAAUGUGGUAGAGGGUAGCGGAAUUCCUGGUGUAGCAGUGAAAUGCGUAGAGAUCAGGAGGAACAUCCAUGGCGAAGGCAGCUACCUGGACCAACAUUGACACUGAGGCACGAAAGCGUGGGGAGCAAACAGGAUUAGAUACCCUAGUAGUC
rnacentral:rRNA from 1 species